rnacentral:lncRNA from 1 species
CCAGGGUGCUUCCUUUCCCCCACUCCAUGAAACAUAAGUACAUUUUUUUAAGUCAUAUAAAUGGACACCAAGCACCGGUAAUUCAGUCUCUUUAAAACCUGCUUAAAAGUUCUAGUAAGAUGUGCUCAGGUUGGAAACUAAAAACUACCUUAUAAGGGUAUAAAAGACUGAAAGCAGGAAGCGGCUUUGACAAAACUAAGGAAGUUGCAGCGCGCUUGCUCACUGGGGGACUUUUUUGAGGCUACAGAAGUAACACAUGACAUCUUUCUCCCUCGAAUUAAAAUGUGACUUGGUUCACCGGUUAAAACGCAGAGGGAGAUGGAAAUGACCAGGAGUCGAAAGGAGAAGAUAAGAGUGCAGUGGUGCAGUCAUGGCUCACUGCAGCGUCUGCCUCCUGGACUCAAAGAAUCCUCCUACCUCAGCCUCCCAAGUAGCUAGGACCACAGAGUUGUGCUCUCCUGCAGCGUUUUGCGGACGGCUGGCUAUCUUACCCAGAAUCAAUCACACUGGGACACUGAAAAAAAAAAAAAAGGAAAAAAGAGCGAGGGAGUAAUUCUAGCCUGUUUUUACAAGAACACAGUGGCUAUAGACAGUGCCAGUGUGAAGAUGACUCAGCAAACGUGGAGAACCAAAGAUUCUAGGGCAGCACCAAAACUGGGAAAGCAAUUACAGCAGAAGUUGCCUUCCCCAUGGUAGCUUAGCAACUUCGUGUCUCUCCAAGGCAGAGAGGAAAAUCAAGUCUAACAGGCCUUCCCGAAGGCUAGGUGUGAAAUACCAGAAGCCAUCUUUGUUUCUGGCGAUGUCACUAAAUAAGUAUUUGUUGAUAUAAAGUAUUACACAUCUGUUCUCCCACAUUUCAGCUAAAUUGCCAAAAGUUAACCCUUUCUGGAGAUCCAGAAUGGAGCAAUAUACCUAGCUCUCAUUCAUUAUUUCCCUUGCUGAUAUUCUUGCAUAGCUUUUAGUUUAUGCAUUUGUCCCAAAUAAACCUAGAAAAAGCCACUUGUCGUAGGACAAGAUGAGCUGAUGAUUUGAAUCACUCCCCCACUGAGGAAGAAACCAUCUGUGGAAAAGACUGUAUAAGGUACUUCCUGGUUGAACGGUAGGGCUCUGGAGUCAGAAGUCUUGAAUUUGAAUCCCAGCCCUGAAAUGUAUCAGCUGUGUGCCCUUAGCUAAGAAAUCACAAGCUCAUCAUGUGAAGAGGAAGAGUUUGGCAGCUCAUCUUAAAUUGUAAUUAUCUUCUUUGCAUGAAUCCUGGAGAAAAGGUCUGCAUAUCAGUUUAUUUUUAUAAAACCGUCUGGUUCUGCUGAUGGUAAGACAUCACUUGGAUGAGCUACACAGAAGCUAAGGAACUGUCAGGGUAGGCCCACAUCAUUGGUAUUGCUAUUGAGAUGUAACUUCUUUUGCAUAAAGCUUUGCUACUACUAUUUGUUCACUUCCUUUAUAGUUUCUUGGAUAGAAUGUAGGAGCCUGAAUAAAAUUCCUGGAGAAGGAAUUUUCUUUUCCUUUUUCUUUUUUGGGGGAAGUGAGGGUGGGGAGGGGCUGGGUCUCACUCUGUCACCCAGGCUAGAGCGUAGUGACACCAUUACAGGCCACUGCAGCCUUGACCUCCUGGGCCCCACCUCAGCCUCCUGAGUAGCUGGGACUACAGGCAUGCACCACCAUGCCUGGCUAAUUAUUGAAUUUUUUGUUGAGAUGGGGUCUCCCUAUAUCGCCUGGGCUUGGACCUACUUUCUGAUGGUCAUUGUCUCUGGGGUUCCCCAAACUCAAAACAUUAAUGUAUCUCAUUGUAAAAGAAAAUAUGUAUUUUCAAAAGCAUUGGUAGCUGAUUAUAAAUGGAUGUUAUAUCUUCCCUGUGGAACACAAGUAAUUUAGUUUUGAUGGAUAAAAUGACAAUCCUUUAAUAUUAUAUUGCUUAUUCUGAUAGAUCGGAUUUGAGGUUGGGUAUAUUUAUAAAUUUUAUUAAAUGGAUGUUUCAGAGAGCUGUGAUUAAGAUUCUAGGACAUUUUUUAGCCGGGGAAGCACAUAGAAUCUUGAAAGUCUUCAUCUCUCGUGAACACUUUUUAUCAAUAGUUUUAAUUUCAGGUUAGAAUUUAUGAUUUACUUAAUCUCUGCUUGUUGGCAGGAAUUCUAUUUAUAUUAUAUAUUUUUUCUUUUUCUUUUUCUUCCUGGCUUGUCUUCAGUACGAUAUACUCUAAAUUUUGCUGUAAAUUUCCAGCAUGGUGCUAAUAUUUGGGUGAGACAGAAUUUCACCAGUGGGAUGUGUUUUCUGGUGCUUUUAAACCUGAAUUAUGAUUUAUUGUCAUGAAUUGUUUCUGGACUCUGGUAACUCUUCCAAGGUGGGUAAAGGCAGCAUUGAGCCCCAGGACACCAGGGGAAGACAUAGAAAUCUAUUUCCUAUGGCAGAAGAGAUUGUAAUCACUUCUGCCCGCCGUGGCCUUUUGGUUACAGGAAUCAAUACAAACAGCAGCUCUCCACGGUCCAUUUGCUUUAUCGGUGGCCCUCGGGUGAGCAAUCAUCUCAAUUUGCCUGGCACUGUGGGGAUUCCCCAGAGGGACUUGGGACUAUUUUCCCAGUUUUUUUUUUUUUCAAUUUUAGAAAUCCUAUUGGUUUGCAGUGGUGCCCCACUGUGGUUUUGAUUUGCAUUUCCCUGAUGACCACUGAUGUUGAGCAUCCUUUUACAUGCUUGCUGACCACUUGUAUGUCUUUUUUGGAGAAACGUGUAUUCAAGCUGUCUUCCUUAUAGCUAAAUAAAAUCAAACAAAAUCCCACCUCACAUAAGGUGAAGUUUCCAGCUGUAGAGCGAAUGAACUUUUAGGUCACCUGAGCAACCCCUUUUCUGACAUGUCUGAGAUAAAUUAAUCUUCUGAUGACAGCACAAUUGUCAUGGGACUUAUCUCAGGUCCAAGUGUUGUGCAGUGAGGUGAUAAACAGAUCCAGAGUGCUUCACCCAGCAACUCCACUCAACUUUUGUAAUAGGUUGGAUUUUGAGUUCCUGCAGAACAGGUAAGAUGCCAGUCAACCUGGCCCUUGGUCCUUCACUCAUGGGUCAGUCCAAGCAUGUAGUACAAUUAUUCCUCCAGUGGCAAGUCAGCAAGAGGGGGCAGAUGAGGUCAGCUACAGACAGGAUAAGAGAAAGCAGGAGAAGCCUAUUGUCCACCAUUGCAAUUUUAAUUGGCUACAUUUGAAGCUGGUAGGAAUACAGACCACUGAGUGCCCUGGAGGAGGCAGUGCUUUAAGCCAUUUUUGUUCAAUCACUUCCUAUGAUUUAGUUUAUUGGCUUAGUAGAAAACAUUAUGAGGGCCGGGUGUGAUAGCUCACGCCUGUAAUCCCAGCACUUUGGGAAGCCGAGGUGGGUGGAUCACCUGAGGUCAGGAGUUCAAGACCAGCCUGACCAACAUGGUGAAACCUUGUCUCUACUAAAAAUACAAAAUUAGCCAGGCAUGGUGGCGGGCGCCUAUAAUCCAAGCUACUUGGGAGGCUGAGGCAGGAGAAUCUCUUGAACCCAGGAGGUGGAGGUUGCAGUGAGCUGAGAUCGCACUAUUGCACUCCAGCCUGGGCAACAAGAGCGAAAUUCAG